UUUUUUUUUUUUUUUGUCCUUUUUUGCCAUUUUCUUGGGCCACUCCCUCAGCAUAUGGAGGUUCCCAGGCUAGGGGUCGAAUCGGAGCUGCAGCCGCCGGCCUACACCAGAGCCACAGCAACGCUGGAUCUGAGCCGCAUCUGCGACCUACACCACAGCUCACGGCAGCACCGGAUCCUCAACCCACUAAGCAAGGGCAGGGAUCGAACCUGCAACCUCAUGGUUCCUAGUCGGGUUCAUUAACCACUGCGCCAUGACGGGAACUCCGAGAAAUUCUUUCUAAUCUCUAUCAAUUGAUCAGAUAUGCAGAAAGGAGAUCUUUUACCAAAAUAUCACACUUCCUACAUUUGAAAAAUGCUCUAAAUUGAGUCUAGAUUUUUAAAUGGACUUUUGGAACUUAUGACUCUCUGAAAUAUCUGGAAUAGAGAAAAUAGCUAUUUCAGCACAAGAAAUGACUAAACUUCUGUCCAAAUCUGAGGUUUUCUUUAAGGAAGUUUCUCCUAUUUUCUGGGAGAAGAAAAUAUACCUCCAAAAUGAAACCCAUACACUAGGGACCAAAAUUUCAACAUAAACAGGAAUCAAAAAUCCUUUACUGGACUUCAUUGGGAAAAAACCCUCUAAAUAUUAAAAUAAAUUUUAUACAUAACAAAGUUUAAUUUAUAAUUACAACUAUUCCCUUGUGUAGUAGGGGUAGUAAGGCUGCAAGGUGGGGGUGUGUUGAGAAGCUGCAACGAGGCUGAUGAAGCUAAAGCUUAGAAGAAAGGGAGAGUCAUGCCCCUAAGAGCUGAGGUUGCAGGACUUUCAGGGGCCUAGUCACAUACACCCCACAGGACUUUUUAAUGACUUGUGAUAAAGAUGGGAGAUUCACUGGAGGGUUCUGAGGAGAAGAGUAAUAUAAUUGGACUUAAAUUCUAAAAUAAUUAGUCCAGCUGCUACAAUAAGAAUAGUCUCUACAUAGAGGCAGAUGAGAGUGGAAGCAGAGACCAGCUAAGGAGGCUUUGCCAAUGAGACAAGAACUUAGAGCCAGUAGCAACGGAGGUGGUUACAAGUGACUAUAUUCUGUACACACUCUGAAGCAGAGUCAAGAGAAUUCGUUCAUAGUGUGGCCGAGAGUUCUGAGAAAAAGUACACUGAGUUAUGGUUCCAACAGUUCUGCCUCAUCUGGAAGAAUCAAUGAGAUGGGGAAAAUUGUAGGUAGAGUAGGAAAGACCAUGAGUUCCAGUUUGGUUAUUCGGAGUUGACAUGUUUAUUAGACAUCCCAGUGGUAACGCUGAGGAAGCAAUUGGAUAUAUGAUGGAGACCUCAGGAAAGAUGCUCAGGUUAAAGGUAUACGUUAUGGAACCAUCGGCAUGAGAUGGUGUUAAGAUGGCGUUUAAAGCCAUACACAGAAAAGAAGAACCGGCACAAAAGACCUAUUUGUUUUUGUAAAAGCACAUCAUUCUUUUUAUAAAUACAGAAUUAAAUAGACACAGAGCCAACGUAAAAGUGGCCUCUCCAAAUCCAUCUCCUACCACCUGUUUUCAGUCCACACCUGGAACCUACAAGGCCUUCACUCACCCUCUUCCCUCUCUCCAUGUAGACAGACUCCCAUGGCUGGCUUCUCACCACCACAGGCACCUUCCCUGGCGAGUCUGUGGGAAGUAGCUCACAUUCCCAACCACUUACUACCCAUCAGAAGUUUUUGAUCUUUACCAGAAAAUCCCCACAUCCCUAUCAGGCCUCAUCCCCCAGAGAUUCUGACUGAACUGUCAGUACCCUGUAGCGCAGCGUUACUUAGUUAACCCUGAAUAAACCACUGGUCUCUGCAUGCUUUCUUUGCUAGGGCAGAAGCUACUCAGUUUGAUGGAGUCCCAUCUGUUUAUUUUUGCUUUUUAGGGCUGCAUCCACACAUAAGGAAGUUCCCAGGCUGGGGGUCAAAUUGGAGCUACAGCUGGUGCCCUAUAUCAUAGCCAGAGCAACACAGGAUGGAAGACGUUUCUGCAACCUACACCAUAGCUCAUGGCAACGCCGAAUCCUUAACCCACUAGUAGGACCAGGGAUUGAAUCUGCCUCCUCAUGGAUACUAGUCAGAUUUGUUUCCACUGAGCCAUGAUGGGAACUCCCCAUUUGUUAUUUUUGCUUUUGUAGUCAGAGCCAAAAAAAAAUCUUCACCAAGAUUGAUGUCAAGGAGCUUUCCAUCUAUGUUCUCUUCUAGGAGUUUUAUGGUUUCAGGUCUCACAUUCAAGUCUUUGGUCCAUUUGGAGUUGAUUUUUGUGUAUGGUAUAAAAUAGUGGUCCAAUUUCAUUCUUGCCUACCUGGCUGUUCAGUUUUUCCCACUGAACGAAGAUACUGUUCUUUCCUCACUGUAUAUUCUUGACUCCUUUGUCAUAAAUUAACUGGCCAUAAAUGUGUGGGUUUAUUUCUGGGUUCUCUAUAGUGUUCCAUUUAUGUGUGUUUCUAUACCAAUGCCAUACCAUUUUGAGUAUGACAGAUUUUUAUUUUGAAAUCAGGAAGCAUGGUGCCUCCAGCUUUGUUCUUCUUUCUCAAUACUGCUUUAGCUACUUGAUGGCUCUGUAAUUAAUACAAAUUAAUGCGUUAAUGAUCCUACCAUGAAGUCACUGUACCUUCUUCCUUUAUUCAGGGUCCAAGACACUGGCCUCACUAGGACUGGAGUGUUGUGGUGAGAACUAAAUACCUGAAUACUAUAUAUCCAUGCCAAACAAAUACAAAAUAACACUCAUUAAAAAUUUAGAAUCCCAGGCGUUCCCAUUGUGGCUCGGUGGUUAACGAAUCCAAUUAGGAACCAUGAGGUUGCGGGUUUGUGAUCCCUGGCCUCACUCAGUGACUUAAGGAUCUGGCGUUGCCGUGAACUGUGGUUGUAGGUCACAGACGCAGCUCGGAUCCCAUGUUGCUGUGGCUCUGGCAUAGGCCGGCGGCUACAGCUCCGAUUAGACUCCUAGCCUGGGAACUUCUAUAUGCUGCAGGUUCGACCAUAGAAAAGACAAAAACAAACAAACAAAAAACAAAACAGAAUCCUAAAACCCCACCCCAGAGAUGCUGAUUCAGUUGGGCCUUUGAUUAGGCCCAAGUAUCCAAUUAAUAAACCUCCCACUGAGGCAAUGAGUCGUUCUCCACAAGGAACACUAGCCUAAGUUUAUUUCCCUAGUCCUAGGCCAACUUCCACUAACUUCAAGACAAUUAAUUAAAAAAAAAAAUUGAUGAUGGCUCCAUUUUUAAAAUCAUAAGACAAACAGCUUUAAUUUAAAAAACGUAGGAAAAGCAAAGGUAUAAAAAGUUCCAGGGUCAACUCCUCACUAUCAAAUAAAGUUCUGUCCAACUGUCAUCCUGAAAUCAUGGCUGUAUACUGUUCUCUACAACACUGGGCCCUCAAAACAGAAAGUAACAAAAGUUCCAUGAAUGAAUGACCUCUCAUCAUCAGUGAAAGUAAUUCGCUGAAGAACUAUGUGUUUUAAAGUCAUACAAAAGACAGACCUCAAACACAGAUCAUGGAGAGAUGUGGCAAGUUGGUUUAAAUGUCAGUAGCUUAUUUUGCAAACAUGGAAAAUUCUAUUCUUUUUUUUCCCCCUGCUGUACAGAAUAAAAUUUUAUUCUUUUUGCUAACAUCCCAAAUUGAGAAAUCUGUGAAACAUGGAAAAUAAACUCUAUUUUAAAAUACAAAAUUAAUAAACUCAGCAUGGUACAUCAGAAAGAACACAAGCUUUACAGUAACACCAGCAUUCAAGUACAUCUGUAUUGUUUUGUAUCUUGUAACCUCAGACAAAUUAGUUACAGAAACUAAGCUCCAUUUCCGCAUCUGUAAAAUGGGAAAAACAAAACAUUCAAAGGAAUUAUCUUAAGGCUCAAAUACAAAAAGUUUGAAUUUUGCUUAAGUUUUAAUAAAAAUGCUAGAGGAUUCUUCAAGAUAAAUAGAGCUGAGGAACAAAAUCUCCAACCAAACUAAUCUGACCUCAACUUCAAAUUUUUAAAUACAUGUUUUCUGAAAUUGAAGAAAAUAUUCACAAUCUAUAAUUUUCUUUUAAAUAAAACGACUACAGUGUUGUUUUCAUGCUGUUGAUUUCUACACCUCCUCCCCUGGAAUCUAAGGCAGCAAUCUUCUCAAUGACUGCAAUUAGGUAUUCACCUGGUGGCUUAUUGCAGUAGGUUAAAAAGUGGUUCCCAAAGAGGGAUGUUCAAGUCCCAACCCCUAGAAACUGUGGAUGUGACCUUAUUUUGGAAAAAGGACCUUUGCAGAUAUAAUUAAGGAUUCUGAGAUGAGAUCAGCCUGGAUUCAGGUUGGUGAAUUCUGUGACACAGGUCCUUAUGAGAAAUGGAGAGACACACAGAGCAGGGGAGAAAGCAGUAGGCUAUAUAAAGUUUUAAACUCUGUACUUCCCUUGACCUGUUUCUCUUGGUAUAAUGUCAUCUUUCACCUGCCCCAUAUCCAAUCUUCUGCCCUUCCACAAGUUUAAAUACACUCAUGUGCAUCAUUACUUUUAUAUUAAAAAUAAUUGAAAAAUAGCCCACAUUUGGAGUACGUACUCCUGAGAUGGAAAAGUGCCUGAAAACUACCUUCACCUUUUAUUUUUUCAGCCCCUACAACAUCCUGUCUAAAUCCUGUUAAUUCCAACUGUCACCAAUAAACUUUUCAUUUUCACUACUGUUGCUUUAGAUGAGGCCUUUACUACCUCCUACCUGGACCACUGUAAUAAUCGUCUACCUACAGCCCAUCUUGCUAAUCUGUCCUACACAGGGCUUCAGCAGAGAUGAAUGAGAAGCUAGAAGGAAAGGAUUACAUGUAACAUCUAGGAUGUCUCUGCUGCUUAUUACAACGUGAACAUAUAUAUACACGUGUGUGUGUAGAUAAUUUAUAAUUUAGUCGUAACUCCAGUCCUAUACUUUUUCCUUUAAAAACUUCAGUAUUUUCAACUGUGUUUGUAGUUCAAACUCUACCUUAACCUGUCACAAUCUAAUACUUAGGUCCAACACGUCUAAUGAGCUUAUCUUUUAUUUCCAGUAACUGCCUGACACAUGGUCUAUACUACAGUGAAGCUGGAUGGCUUAUACUGAGGAAGGUAUAAGGUAUGGCACUUAGCAGAUGCACAAUAAAUGACAGCUACCUUUCUGGUUGUUUUUUCCUGCCUUUACAUUUUGAUUAUUCACCAUUUCUACUUGUCUAAACCCUGUUCAUUUUUCGAAGACCAGCUUAAAUGCCAUCUUACCCUCAGUUUUCCGAGGAGGAGGAAGGCACUCUGGACCCUAUGAAAUUCCAAGCUUCUCCAGUAGCUCAAUCAGAGCCCCUAUGACAUUCUACCAGGACUGCUGGACUACAGGCCCCUUAAGGGCAGGGACACAGCUAAUUCACUUUUUAAAUUAUUAGUCCUGUGUUCUAUAUUUGGUAAACUUUUACUAUCAUUGCCUCCUGCAUUUCAACGUACAUCACCAAUUUAAGAGAUAACAGAUACCGGACUAAAUGUGGAUCCUGAGUGUGACGAUGGUUUCAGGUCUCUGUGCCUGUCUGCUUAUGUCUAUAAUGGUAAUCGUACCACCCACCUUAUUCAGAAUACGACUGCGAGGAAUAAAAGAAACAGCAUGUAGAGAAUAAAAGGUAACACAUCUGUGCUUUUUCCUUCCCCAGAGCCCACAGGCAGACUAGCACUCCAUCCCACGCUAUAGCCAUACCACUUCUCACCGUAUACUGUGAUUAUCAUCUCCCUGCCUCCCUCAGGAGCAGUAACAUUUCGUAUUCUGAAAACCACUCUGCUCUGUGGCCUGGCUUACAAAGUAGGUACUCAGUGAAUGCAAAACCUGUGUACUGCAUGCCCACUGAAAAGAUCACAAAGGGACUGACUUGCCUUUUCUACAUAACGACAAACUCAGUCUUUAUUUUAAAAAGUAAAUUCUCAAAAAAAGCGUUAUUCAACAGUAGAUUUUUCAGAUAGAAAAAUGAUGCUAGAGAAUAAAAGCAUGACUGCACGAAAUUAGAACUGCAACCCUGAUAGAAUCUGCCCCUAAGUAUAAUGUCCCUUUGAAAACGGCAGCUCUAGCAAGCACGCUGGUGCGCCAUUCCUCAACCCAGGGCCUCCAGCUUCAAACCUUCUCUGCCCUGCUGGAGAGACUAGGACACUCUCUCCCUUGACAGCUGGUGCAACAGGAAGUGAACAGGAAGCAGGGCCCACAGCUCUCUGUGGGCCCCCAAGAACAGCACCACACACUCACCCCCCAAAGGCGACCCACAGCUUCCCAAUCCACCAUGGCCCUCAAGUGCAGUUCUCCGCCAUCCGGAAGGCCUCAGCCGCACCCCUCCAGGGGUCUGGCUGUGCCUUCUGCCUGCUGUUGCCGUUUCUCUUAGCCACCUCCCACCAUCAGAAUCAAUGAUUCUUUACACCAGACUUCCCCUAUGUAAAUUCCUGGGUUUCUUUUUCCUAGCUGGACUCGAUAGAACUUGUAUGAUUAACACAUCCUUCUUUAAAAUAAACCAAAUUGAAUUUGGUAAAGAUAAGAGUUUUAUUUUUAAAUAUAAACUGAGUUUAGAUAGUCUUAGGAAAGACCCAGUUUGUGUUUUUUCAGUGCAUAUUUUCAUAAAAACAAAGCAAGGAGCAAUUUACAUUUUAGAAAACUGAAACAUAAAGUGGAGCAUUUGCAAAUGUUAUAGGGAAUAAACGAUACAAUGCUAAAUUUAGUAGCAAGGAAGAUAGCAGAAUGUGGUAAAAAUAGCAUCCUUUUCCUUUCUUCCUCCCACUCUUAGGACUUUCCCAAACUAGUUUGUUUUACUGGUGGAAAAAUGGCUUAAGAGUGAGAAAAAUCAUAAUGAAGAAAACUGAAUCUCAGAAUGUCACAGUAUGUUGGACCAAAGAGGUCCUCUGCGUAGUGUUUUCUAAACAGCAGGCUAUAACCAGUUAGGUUACAAAAUCAACUUAGUGGGUUACAACUAGUUCAUUUAAAAAGUGAACUGGACAAAAAAAAAAAAAAAAAAAA
ensembl:lncRNA